UAAUGAAAAACGGAACCCCGGGAGGGGGUUCCGUUUUAAUGAAUUAUUCGGCUUUGCCGAAUAUGAAUUAUUGCUUCGCAAUAUGAAUUAUUGA
rnacentral:misc_RNA from 1 species